rnacentral:rRNA from 1 species
CCUACGGGCGGCAGCAGUAGGGAAUAUUGCUCAAUGGGGGAAACCCUGAAGCAGCAACGCCGCGUGGAGGAUGAAGGUUUUCGGAUUGUUAACCCCUUUUGUUAGAGAAGUAAAUUACGGUACCUAUCCACUUCUCACCGUCCAACGCCGUGCAACCAGCCGCGGCAAUACGGCGGGCGCCAGGGUUAUCCGGAAUCUCCGGGCGUAAAGGGCGUGUAGGCGGGAUAGCAAGUCAGGUGUGAAAACCUUUGGUUUAACCGUAGAACUGCAGUUGAAACUGUUACUCUAGAGUUUGGGAGAGGUAGGUGGAAUGCUUGGUGUAGGGGUGAAAUCCGUAGAGAUCAGGAGGAAUACUGAUUGCGAAGGCGGCCUGCUAGAGCAUAACUGACGCUGAUGCACGAAAGCGUGGGGAGCAAACAGGAUUAGAUACCCGGGUAGUC